rnacentral:rRNA from 1 species
AGUCGUAACAAGGUUUCCGUAGGUGAACCUGCGGAAGGAUCAUUAAAGAAAUUUAAUAAUUUUGAAAAUGGAUUUUUUUGUUUUGGCAAGAGCAUGAGAGCUUUUACUGGGCAAGAAGACAAGAGAUGGAGAGUCCAGCCGGGCCUGCGCUUAAGUGCGCGGUCUUGCUAGGCUUGUAAGUUUCUUUCUUGCUAUUCCAAACGGUGAGAGAUUUCUGUGCUUUUGUUAUAGGACAAUUAAAACCGUUUCAAUACAACACACUGUGGAGUUUUCAUAUCUUUGCAACUUUUUCUUUGGGCAUUCGAGCAAUCGGGGCCCAGAGGUAACAAACACAAACAAUUUUAUCUAUUCAUUAAAUUUUUGUCAAAAACAAGAAUUUUCGUAACUGGAAAUUUUAAAAUAUUAAAAACUUUCAACAACGGAUCUCUUGGUUCUCGCAUCGAUGAAGAACGCAGCGAAAUGCGAUACGUAAUGUGAAUUGCAGAAUUCCGUGAAUCAUCGAAUCUUUGAACGCACAUUGCGCCCCUUGGUAUUCCAGGGGGCAUGCCUGUUUGAGCGUCAUUUCCUUCUCAAACAUUCUGUUUGGUAGUGAGUGAUACUCUUUGGAGUUAACUUGAAAUUGCUGGCCUUUUCAUUGGAUGUUUUUUUUCCAAAGAGAGGUUUCUCUGCGUGCUUGAGGUAUAAUGCAAGUACGGUCGUUUUAGGUUUUACCAACUGCGGCUAAUCUUUUUUUAUACUGAGCGUAUUGGAACGUUAUCGAUAAGAAGAGAGCGUCUAGGCGAACAAUGUUCUUUAAGUUUGACCUCAAAUCAGGUAGGAGUACCCGCUGAACUUAAGCAUAUCAAAGUCG